rnacentral:rRNA from 1 species
UACGGAGGGUGCAAGCGUUGUUCGGAAUCACUGGGCGUAAAGGGCGCGUAGGCGGCCAACUAAGUCAGACGUGAAAUCCCUCGGCUUAACCGGGGAACUGCGUCUGAUACUGGAUGGCUUGAGUUCGGGAGAGGGAUGCGGAAUUCCAGGUGUAGCGGUGAAAUGCGUAGAUAUCUGGAGGAACACCGGUGGCGAAGGCGGCGCCCUGGACCGAAACUGACGCUGAGGAGCGAAAGCCAGGGGAGCAAACGGG